UAAUACGUAGGGUGCAAGCGUUGUCCGGAAUCAUUGGGCGUAAAGCGCGCGUAGGCGGCCCGAUAGGUCCGCUGUAAAAGUCAACGGCUCAACUGUUGAAAGCCGGUGGAUACUGUCGGGCUAGAGCACGGAAGAGGCAAGUGGAAUUCCUGGUGUAGCGGUGGAAUGCGCAGAUAUCAGGAGGAACACCUAUAGCGAAGGCAGCUUGCUGGGACGUUACUGACGCUGAGGCGCGAAAGCGUGGGGAGCGAACAGGAUUAGAUACCCUGGUAGUCCACGCCGUAAACGAUGACAACUAGGUGUGGGAGGUGUCGACUCCUCCCGUGCCGUCGCUAACGCAUUAAGUUGUCCGCCUGGGGAGUACGGCCGCAAGGCUAAAACUCAAAUGAAUUGACGG
rnacentral:rRNA from 1 species